rnacentral:rRNA from 1 species
UACGUAGGGCGCAAGCGUUAUCCGGAAUUAUUGGGCGUAAAGAGCUCGUAGGCGGUUUGUCGCGUCUGCCGUGAAAGUCCGGGGCUCAACUCCGGAUCUGCGGUGGGUACGGGCAGACUAGAGUGCAGUAGGGGAGACUGGAAUUCCUGGUGUAGCGGUGAAAUGCGCAGAUAUCAGGAGGAACACCGAUGGCGAAGGCAGGUCUCUGGGCUGUAACUGACGCUGGAGGAGCGGAAAAGCAUGGGGAGCGAACAGG